GGGAACCUCACCCGGCCCGGACACCGCGAGGAUUGACAGACUGAGAGCUCUUUCUCGAUUCGGUGGGUGGUGUGCAUGGCCGUUCUUAGUUGGUGGAGCGAUCUGUCUGGUUAAUUCCGAUAACGAACGAGACCCCAACCUGCUAACUAGCCCUCGGGUCCUGCUUCUGUUGGGCCCGACGGAAUGAUUCGCUUCUUAGAGGGACUCGCGGCGCCUAGCCGCACGAAGGGGGGCGAUAA
rnacentral:rRNA from 1 species